rnacentral:rRNA from 1 species
UACGUAGGGUGCGAGCGUUAAUCGGAAUUACUGGGCGUAAAGCGUGCGCAGGCGGUUGGUUAAGUCUGAUGUGAAAGCCCCGGGCUCAACCUGGGAAUGGCGAUGGAUACUGGCUCGCUAGAGUGCGGUAGAGGAGAGUGGAAUUCCCGGUGUAGCAGUGAAAUGCGUAGAGAUGUGGAGGAAUACCGAUGGCGAAGGCAGCCCCCUGGGAUAACACUGACGCUCAUGCACGAAAGCGUGGGGAGCAAACAGG